UUUCACGUGGCUCCAAUACUGGCCUGGCACAUGGAGAAGCAUUUUAAAGAUAUGACAGCACAAACAGUAAAGGCAAAGAACAAAACCAAGAGUCUGCUAGUGAUCGAUCCCAGAAGAAAAGAGAAGGUAAAGUGGUCUUUACUGGAGGAGGCAAUAAAAGCACUGAAGGAUCCCCUUCUUAUAUCCACCCUCUUUGACAAGCUGCUGAGAAGAUCAGACCAGGACCAGGAAUACAUACAGCUACAGCCCGACUGUCUCCUCACCACAGCCCUGCUCAAACUGUAUGUCACACACUUCAUGCACAAAGUGCAAACAGAUGAACUCUUCCCAUCAGGCGUGACAACAGGAAUUCUCAUCUAUGGUGAAACUGUCAUGAUGAGCCUUUCAUUCAAAGCCAAAGAAAAACUGGAGAUAAGGAAGUCUUUGCUGGAGGAGACAAGAAGGGCAAGACAAGAUCUCAUUUCUGCCAUCUUUGACCAGCUGCCGAGAAGAUCAAUGCAGGAUGAGGAUGAGCAUGAGGAAGAGGAAGAGGAUGAGGAUGAGGACCAGGACCAAUUAUACAAACAGCUGCGCUGUGACCAUCCACGCACCCCAGGCCUGCUCACUCUGUGCGUUGCACACUUGAUGAGCAAAGCGCAAACACAUGAUAAAUUCUUCCCAACAAGCCUGAAAGUCAAAAAUCUCACCGACAGUGAAACUGUAAUGAUCAGCAUUUCAUUCGAAUAAAUAGAAUAUUGCAGCUGACAAAUGUUUUCCCAGAAUGUCCAGACAGUAGUAAAACAGCAAAAAGGACUGCAUACAGUAUAUGACAAAGUUGGGGUUAAAAUGUUUGACAAUAAUUCUGGCGCAAGCUCAGUCCUUUCCUUUUGGGAAGAGCCAUGGCAGUUGUGGGUUUGGGUUACUUUUUAGUAUAGUAGGAAACUGAGAAAUGUGCGAUUGUAAUUUUUACAUUGUUCAGUCAAUAUAAAUGCUAUUGUACAUUAUGCCUUAUUGGGGAUUUUGAAAUAUGAAAAGUAAAAGAUAAUUGAUUAAUUGAUGUGUUGGUUUGGCUGGAGGAAGGAGCUACCUGGAUGUAGUAGCUCUGAUCCCUGGUCCAAGUUAGUCUGUGGUGGGAUCUCAGUGGAAAAGGUCAUAGGUUAUACAACAACUGAAUUGUAAGUUAUCAAGAAUUUAAGUGUUCUUGAAAGUAUUUGCAACCUGAAAUCUUUCGUUGUUUAUUAUUAUUUUUGUUAGUUCGUGUAUGUCUGUAUGUUUCCGUGAUAAAACGACAUAUCUCUGCACUGCCCACUGUAAAUAAAUUCCAACACUGUUUUUUUUGGGGGAAAGCAUCGACUUUUUAAAAUCAACUUCCUGUGCCUCUUAGUCGGCAACGUUUACCCUCGCUCGGGUAAACAGGGUUAAACUAUAUAUGUGUUAGCGUGUAUUUUUACUAACAUAACUAAUCAAUAUUAUCCAUAGUUCACAGUUACUGAAUAAUAACAUUGUAGUUUAGAUGGGAGGGGGCCUGAAAUGGAGAGGGAGUUUGGCCCAAGCUUACUCUCUAAAACAAUGUCUAACUUUAUUGACUUUAUAUGGGUGUCCAGUAAAAUGUAAUAAGUGGUGAUUUGCUAAUACUGUAACUAUAUACAAUAAUUAAAGAUGAGGCCGGUCAAGCCAUCUUAAAUGAGUGAGACCUGACAUGUUAACCUUUUAUUGAUUGUAAUGCCUAUAUUCAUUAUAUUCAUAUGUGUUUAAAGGGGGGAUGUUAGAGUUAACAUGUUACAUUUUACAUAUGUGUGUAUUUUUCUUAACAUAAUUAAUUUAUAUUAAUCAAUAUUAUCCAUUGUUCUUAAUUACUAAUAUUGUAGUUCAGAUGGGAGGGGAAGCAGUAAAUCUGACCAUGUUGACCUUAUUUGGGAGACCAGCAAACAUGAUAAAUGAUGAUUGGCUGAGCUGAAGGCAAACACCGAAUGGUGUGAUAUGACUACAUGUGAUAUGUUAUAAAUGCCCAGAGGAACUGCCCCUCUGUGGAAAUUGCACAUGCAUCUUUGUUGUGUGAACUGAUUCCCCUUCUGCCAAAUAAAGAAUACUGAUAAUUUACA